GGGCGCUUAGCUCAGUUGGCUAGAGCAUCUCGUUUACACCGAGAGGGUCAGGGGUUCAAGUCCCUUAGCGCCCACC
rnacentral:tRNA from 1 species